rnacentral:rRNA from 1 species
UGAAGAAGGUCUUCGGAUUGUAAAGCACUUUAAGUUGGGAGGAAGGGCACGAUAAGUCAAUACCUUGCUGUAUUGACGUAACCGGACAGAAUAAGCACCGGCUAACUAUGUGCCAGCAGCCGCGGUAAUACAGAGGGUGCAAGCGUUAAUCGGAAUAACUGGGCGUAAAGCGCGCGUAGGUGGUUCGGUAAGUUGGAUGUGAAAGCCCCGGGCUCAACCUGGGAACUGCAUCCAAAACUGGCGAGCUAGAGUAUGGUAGAGGGGUGGGGUUGGAAUUUCCUGGUGUAGCCGGUGAAAUGCGUAGAUUAUAAGGAAGGGAACAACCAGUUGGCGAAAGGCGACCAACCUGGACUGAUACUGACACUGAAGGUGGCGAAAGCGUGGGGGAGCAAAACAGGAUUAGAUACCCUGGUAGUCCACGCCCGUAAACGAUGUCAACUAGCCCGUUGGAAAUCCCUUGGAAGAAUUUUAGGUGGGCGCAGCUAACGCAUUAAGUUUGAACCGCCUGGGGGGAGUACGGCCGCCAAAGUUAAAACCUCAAAUGAAUUUGACGGGGGCCCGCAACAAAGUCGGUGGAGCAUGGUGGUUUAAUUUCGAAGCAACGCGAAGAACCUUAACAGGCCUUGACCAUGCAAAGAAACCUUCCAGAGAAUGGAUUGGUGACUUCGGGAACUCUGACACAGGUCCUGCCAUGGCUGUCCGUUCAAGCUUCGUGUCGUGAGAUGUUGGGUUAAGUCCCGUAACGAGCGCAACCCUUGUCCUUAGUUACCAGCACGUUAUGGUGGGCACUCUAAGGAGACUGCCGGUGACAAACCGGAGGAAGGUGGGGAUGACGUCAAGUCAUCAUGGCCCUUACGGCCUGGGCUACACACGUGCUACAAUGGUCGGUACAGAGGGUUGCCAAGCCGCGAGGUGGAGCUAAUCUCACAAAACCGAUCGUAGUCCGGAUCGCAGUCUGCAACUCGACUGCGUGAAGUCGGAAUCGCUAGUAAUCGCGAAUCAGAAUGUCGCGGUGAAUACGUUCCCGGGCCUUGUACACACCGCCCGUCACACCAUGGGAGUGGGUUGCACCAGAAGUAGCUAGUCUAACCUUCGGGAGGACGGUUACCACGGUGUGAUUCAUGACUGGGGUGAAGUCGUAACAAGGUAACCGUAA